rnacentral:rRNA from 1 species
CCUACGGGCGGCAGCAGUGGGGAAUAUUGCACAAUGGGCGCAAGCCUGAUGCAGCCAUGCCGCGUGUGUGAAGAAGGCCUUCGGGUUGUAAAGCACUUUCAGCGGGGAGGAAGGCGGUGAGGUUAAUAACCUCAUCGAUUGACGUUACCCGCAGAAGAAGCACCGGCUAACUCCGUGCCAGCAGCCGCGGUAAUACGGAGGGUGCAAGCGUUAAUCGGAAUUACUGGGCGUAAAGCGCACGCAGGCGGUCUGUCAAGUCGGAUGUGAAAUCCCCGGGCUCAACCUGGGAACUGCAUUCGAAACUGGCAGGCUAGAGUCUUGUAGAGGGGGGUAGAAUUCCAGGUGUAGCGGUGAAAUGCGCAGAGAUCUGGAGGAAUACCGGUGGCGAAGGCGGCCCCCUGGACAAAGACUGACGCUCAGGUGCGAAAGCGUGGGGAGCAAACAGGAUUAGAUACCCUAGUAGUC